UACAGGGGGGGCAAGCGUUGUUCGGAAUUACUGGGCGUAAAGGGCUCGUAGGUGGCCAACUAAGUCGGACGUGAAAUCCCUCAGCUUAACUGGGGAACUGCAUCCGAUACUGGAUGGCUUGAGUUUGGGAGAGGGAUGCGGAAUUCCAGGUGUAGCGGUGAAAUGCGUAGAUAUCUGGAGGAACACCGGUGGCGAAGGCGGCAUCCUGGACCAACACUGACACUGAGGUGCGAAAGCGUGGGGAGCAAACAGG
rnacentral:rRNA from 1 species